AGCAGCCGCGGUAAUUCCAGCUCCAGUAGCGUAUAUUAAAGUUGUUGCAGUUAAAAAACUCGUAGUUGAAUUUCGGGAUUAGUACGUUGGUCAUGCCUUGGUAUGUACUGGUGUAACUGAUUCCUCCCUUCUGACGAACCGUCAUGCCAUUAAUUUGGUGUGGCGGGAAAUCAGGACUGUUACUUUGAAAAAAUUAGAGUGUUUAAAGCAGGCUCGCGCUUGAAUACAUUAGCAUGGAAUAAUGAAAUAGGACGUUAAUCCUAUUCUGUUGGUUUCUAGGAUCGACGUAAUGAUUAGUAGGGAUAGUUGGGGGCAUUAGUAUUCAAUUGUCAGAGGUGAAAUUCUUGGAUUUAUUGAUGUCUAACUACUGCGAAAGCAUUUGCCAAGGAUGUUUUCAUUAAUCAAGAACGAAAGUUAGGGGAUCGAAGACGAUCAGAUACCGUCGUAGUCUUAACCAUAACUAUGCCGACUAGGGAUCGGAUGAUGUUAUUUUUAAUGACUCAUUCGGCGCCUUACGG
rnacentral:rRNA from 1 species